rnacentral:rRNA from 1 species
UACGGAGGGUGCAAGCGUUAUCCGGAUUCACUGGGUUUAAAGGGUGCGUAGGAGGGCAGGUAAGUCAGUGGUGAAAUCUCCGAGCUUAACUUGGAAACUGCCGUUGAUACUAUCUGUCUUGAAUAUUGUGGAGGUGAGCGGAAUAUGUCAUGUAGCGGUGAAAUGCUUAGAUAUGACAUAGAACACCAAUUGCGAAGGCAGCUCGCUACGCAUAUAUUGACUCUGAGGCACGGAAGCGUGGGGAUCAAACAGG